UACGAAGGGGGCUAGCGUUGCUCGGAAUUACUGGGCGUAAAGCGCACGUAGGCGGAUUGUUAAGUCGGGGGUGAAAUCCUGGAGCUCAACUCCAGAACUGCCUUCGAAACUGGCGAUCUUGAGUCCGGGAGAGGUGAGUGGAACUGCGAGUGUAGAGGUGAAAUUCGUAGAUAUUCGGAAGAACACCAGUGGCGAAGGCGACUUACUGGACACAUAUUGACGCUGAGGUGCGAAAGCGUGGGGAGCAAACAGG
rnacentral:rRNA from 1 species